ensembl:lncRNA
UACAGCGAGGCGACCAAGGACCGGCCAGCUACUACAGCGAGGCGACCAAGGACCGGCCAGCUACUACAGCGAGGCGACCAAGGACCGGCCAGCUACUACAGCGAGGCGACCAAGGACCGGCCAGCUACUACAGCGAGGCGACCAAGGACCGGCCAGCUACUACAGCGAGGUGACCAAGGACCGGCCAGCUACUACAGCGAGGUGACCAAGGACCGGCCAGCUACUACAGCGAGGCGACCAAGGACCGGCCAGCUACUACAGCGAGGCGACCAAGGACCGGCCAGCUACUACAGCGAGGCGACCAAGGACCGGCCAGCUACUACAGCGAGGCGACCAAGGACCGGCCAGCUGCUACAGCGAGGCGACCAAGGACCGGCCAGCUGCUACAGCGAGGCGACCAAGGACCGGCCAGCUGCUACAGCGAGGCGACCAAGACCGGCCAGCUGCUACAGCGAGGCGACCAAGGACCGGCCAGCUGCUACAGCGAGGCGACCAAGGACCG